CAGCAGAGUAAAGGUUAAACUUGGGUAGUUGAUUUUUAUUGAACAGAUGAUAAAAAAGCAAAUGCAGUCAUGGCAAUAUGGUCUUUUUGUUUUGUAAUUUUUGUAUUUUGAUUAUGAAAUAAUCCAUGUGCUGAAUGUGAAAACAUAGUUAUGUGUGUACAAGUAGUUGAAAAACACAUAGAUUUCUCAUAAAUGAUUUUAGGUGAAACACAUAGAUUUAUUUAUAAAUGAUUUAUUUCAAUCACAUAGAUUCCUCAUAUCAAUGAAUGUCGUCACAACUUACAAAUAGAUUUCUUAAAGAUGAUUUAGUAUAAACACAUAGAUUUUUCAUGAAUGAUUUAGUAAAGAAACCCAAGCACAUAGAUUUGUCAUGAAUAAUUUAGUAAAAAAAAACACCAACACAUAGAUUUCUCAUCAGUGGUUUAUUACAAACACAUAGAUUUCAGUGAUUUAGACUAGUACCAUGCUGUUAUAUGUUAGUGCAUGUUAGAUGCUACAUUAAAACUAUACAAUCAAGGCCAAAUUACAACAUCAGGAGAUGAUGACGAUGGCAGGGAAGUAUUAUACAACCAGCAUAUCAUGUAUACUUAAUUCAUACAUUUAUAAUACUGCACGUUUGUAACAUCCAUUCUCAUUGGAUGAUUGUUUACGGUAUAUAAUCAGUAUACUUGUAACAUUGAUUCUCAUUGGAUGAUUUUGAUGUAUAUUUAUUAAUAUACUUGUAAGAUUGAUUCUCAUUGGAUGAUUUUGAUGAAAAUUAUCAGUUUGCUUGUAACAUUGAUUCUCAUUGGAUGUAUAUUAUUAAUAUACUUGUUAUACUAAAUCUCAUUGGAUGAUUGUGACAAAUACAGUAUAUUAUCAAUAUACUGAUCUUGCUGAAUCUUUUGAAUUAAUUUAUUUUAUUUUGAGUCAAAAUACAACAAUUGUGCAGUAUUAUAAAUUGGUAAUAAAGUCAUUUGACAGGUAAUAUGGCCAUGUUUGAAUGAUUAAUUGAUAUUUAAUCCAAGCUUAUAUAACAUCGGGUCAUAUAAACUAACAACUGCCUAUACAAAGCCAUAUAACCUGUCAAAAAAAAAUCUUUACAAAUAAUUGCAUCAAUCAAUUCUAACCCUAGCCCCCCCCCCCCCCCUCAUCUGGGGGGGGGGUUUGGAGGGAUUAGCCACGUUUUUUACCGUCCGUCUUUUGUUACAACACUGCUGGCUCAAUAAGGCAGUUCUAUUUCAUUUUCCACAAUAGUUGGAAUAUAUCCAAAGUACAGUAUUCUUUCUUAUAAAAGGAUUUUUACCAUAUAACUGUCCCAGCCUUUACUGCAGGUUCGAUCAUUCAAAUGUCAAAGUCCCCCGAUAUUCUCCAUGGAGUUGAUUGGUGCAAAAUAACAUUCAUUGUCCGGCUGCCAUAUGUACCUCAAUAUAUAAACAUCAUUGAUAAAGUGCUUUAUCUGCUUAGUCUCCAUCGCGCAUACAUUUAGAACAUCGACCAUCAGUUGUAUAUACGUAUAUAUUAUAUCAAACAAGGGCUGAUAGUUACGUAGAACCUCUGUGUAAGUCACAUGACCUUCU